UAAAGGGCAGUUCUAUGAGGUAGCGAA
rnacentral:sRNA from 1 species